GCUUGAGUUUUAAUCUGAGUUAAAAUGCAGCCGCUUUGGGGAAGAACCCUACUUUGUGCUGUUACCUGUUGUUAGUUCAACGGGGAUGCGGAAUUUGGGGUGGAUGCCGAGCGCUGGGAAGGAAUAUGCCCUCGUUCCCCCAUCUCCAUGACUACCACUGAAGGAAGGAGGCUGAGGGCAGAUAUGUGUGCAGGUCUGCUGGUGUCACUAGAGAGGAAGGAGACCGCAAGAAGACAGCGGCCGGGGGGAUCUAGGAGAUGGAAAGGGUCCUGAAAAAUUCUAAUCUGGAUAAUCUCUGGAUACUGGACAAUGAAGCCCAGGUGUGCUCUAAAAAAAUGGAGCAAAAUUUGGUCCAACUCAUGCCAAUUGUGUUCAACAGUUUAUAGGAUAAGUAGAUCCUUUCAGGCUGUCAUAGUUCAAGCUCUUGGAAUGACCAGUAAUAUAUACUUAAACAUAUGACAAAACUUAAGGGAAAAGAGGGCCCAAGGCAUGCAGGGGAACUGAGCAUAAAGGCCAUUGUAUUUCAUGUAUGACUUGACUGUGUUUCAGUAAAGCAAUUUUAGCUCUAAAC
rnacentral:lncRNA from 1 species